AACUUCACCGAUUGAGAAGCACCUUCAGCUGGAGGAUGAAUCCAACCUGAAACAGAUCAGCAAAAACUAAGAAGGCUAACGAAAUCUAAGGUGAAGAUGUGGUAAAAUUAGAAAAAUAUCUUCCAGCCACAGAACAAAUAAAGAAAGGGAUAUACAGCAGCUUAGAGUGCAAAAGAAAGAGUUUUAGAGCAGAGUACAGAUAAAGGGCAUAUUGACAUUGCCCUGAGAAAGCAUGGAAUUGGAAUUAUAAAAUUCAAAGGAUAACCUACUGGAAAAUCUAGCAGAUUGAGGCUGCUGUUUGAGCAGCUGGCGCACCUUUCACAGCAUAGAUCUAUUAAAUAGAUAAGAAAAACAAAGUCCAGACUUGGUGUUAUUGUUAAACUUUCGUCAUAAGAAGCUUCUGUUUUCUUCAUUUCAUUUCUUUAGGGUUAAAAAACUAUUCAGCAACCCAGAGGUUGUUAUUAUUUUUUCAUUGUUUAUAAUUUUAGUUAAAAUAUUAUAUUAUCUCCCAACAUGUUUGUCACUUUCUGCUUACCAAGCUUCGAACUACGUGAACUUUGAAUAUCUUUUUUUAUGUUUAUUAUUUGAUAACAGAAAUCUGCGAGGGUUAUUGGUGUGCAAUAAGAGAUAACUGACGAAAGACGUGAAGGAAGUAUAUCAAAACUCAAAAGUACAAACUCUAGCAUCCCCAUAUAUUUCAUGUUGUUGCAGACACCUGGUGAAGUGACAGAAAGGUUAAAAUGACCAGGUAAAUUUUCUAUGCAAUACAUCAGAUGAAAUUAGAAAGUUUCACUUAGUGAAUUGGAGAAUUGUCACCAUCUUCGAAGGAAUGGGGACGAUUCGGUGUGAAAGCUCUGCUCUUCAAUAAGCAUAGUUCAGGAAGUGGUUAUGGAGGAUUGGGGUGGAGGUGAAAAUAUGUUGUGGAGGGGUGCGAUGGCGAAAAAUUAUGACAUUAUGGAAGGUAGGUGGAGGCU
rnacentral:lncRNA from 1 species